rnacentral:tRNA from 1 species
GGUGUUGUAGCUCAGUGGUAGAGUGCUUGCCUUGCAUGUAUGAGAUGCUGGGUUGGAUCUCCAGCACUA